AAUCGUUCAAGGUAACAAUUUAAAAGAAGAUUCUCAACCAGCAGGACCCCAUCAUAUGGAAUCACCAGAGAUUGUAACAGCUAAUAAUGUUUCUUUCUCUCAACAACCAGAAAUUGUUAUUGAUACUACAUCAUCUAUAGAAGAUAUAAAAAUGUAUAUGGAAACUCUGCAAGCGACUAUUUUAUGUAAAGGAACUGACAUACACUAUAGGUACGAUAUAUUUUCUUUCAUUUCUUUUAAUAUAAAUAAAAAUCUCAUACUAUUACACAUUCGGUGAAAAUUGAAAAUAAACUUAAAGAUUCACCUAAAUCGAGGCUCCAUCUAGAACUGUGACACCUGAAGUAAAAACAAGCAUCAAGUACAUCUUUUAGUAGUAGUGUGAAAAGAAAGAAAGUAUCUACAUUACCUUUAAAAAAUUCCAAAUCAUCUUGUAAGUCAAUAGAUAUGUGUUUUAGGUAGCAGAUUUUUUUUGUAAUUAUCUAACUGUAUGCAAAUGAACUUGUAAAUAACGUAAAUACAUUUAUAAAGCAAUUUUAUGAAAUAAAAAAAUAUGAUAUUUUAA